rfam:Frankia sp. CcI3, complete genome.
GAAACGGGAACCCGGCACGGCUCCGGCCGGUCAGACCGGGAGUGCCUCACCGCAAGGUGAGGCGGCA